rnacentral:rRNA from 1 species
UGGGGAAUAUUGGACAAUGGACCAAGAGUCUGAUCCAGCAAUUCUGUGUGCACGAUGAAGUUUUUCGGAAUGUAAAGUGCUUUCAGUUGGGAAGAAAAAAAUGACGGUACCAACAGAAGAAGUGACGGCUAAAUACGUGCCAGCAGCCGCGGUAAUACGUAUGUCACGAGCGUUAUCCGGAUUUAUUGGGCGUAAAGCGCGUCUAGGUGGUUAUAUAAGUCUGAUGUGAAAAUGCAGGGCUCAACUCUGUAUUGCGUUGGAAACUGUAUAACUAGAGUACUGGAGAGGUAAGCGGAACUACAAGUGUAGAGGUGAAAUUCGUAGAUAUUUGUAGGAAUGCCGAUGGGGAAGCCAGCUUACUGGACAGAUACUGACGCUGAAGCGCGAAAGCGUGGGUAGCAAACAGG